GCGAAGCGGGAAGAGCUCAAAUUUAUAAUCUGGCACCUUCGGUGUCCGAGUUGUAAUCUCUAGAAAUGUUUUCCGCGUUGGACCGCACACAAGUCUGUUGGAAUACAGCGGCAUAGUGGUGAGACCCCCGUAUAUGGUGCGGACGCCCAGCGCUUUGUGAUACAUUUUCGAAGAGUCGAGUUGUUUGGGAAUGCAGCUCAAAUUGGGUGGUAAAUUCCAUCUAAAGCUAAAUAUUGGCGAGAGACCGAUAGCGAACAAGUACCGUGAGGGAAAGAUGAAAAGCACUUUGGAAAGAGAGUUAACAGUACGUGAAAUUGUUGGAAGGGAAACGCUUGAAGUCAGACUUGCUUGCCGAGCAAUCGGUUUGCAGGCCAGCAUCAGUUUUCCGGGAUGGAUAAUGGUAGAGAGAAGGUAGCAGUUUCGGCUGUGUUAUAGCUCUCUGCUGGAUACAUCUUGGGGGACUGAGGAACGCAGUGUGCCUUUGGCGGGGGUUUCGACCU
rnacentral:rRNA from 1 species